rnacentral:rRNA from 1 species
GACGAACGCUGGCGGCGUGCCUAAUACAUGCAAGUUGAGCGCUGAAGGUUGGUACUUGUACCGACUGGAUGAGCAGCGAACGGGUGAGUAACGCGUGGGGAAUCUGCCUUUGAGCGGGGGACAACAUUUGGAAACGAAUGCUAAUACCGCAUAAAAACUUUAAACACAAGUUUUAAGUUUGAAAGAUGCAAUUGCAUCACUCAAAGAUGAUCCCGCGUUGUAUUAGCUAGUUGGUGAGGUAAAGGCUCACCAAGGCGAUGAUACAUAGCCGACCUGAGAGGGUGAUCGGCCACAUUGGGACUGAGACACGGCCCAAACUCCUACGGGAGGCAGCAGUAGGGAAUCUUCGGCAAUGGACGAAAGUCUGACCGAGCAACGCCGCGUGAGGGAAGAAGGUUUUCGGAUCGUAAAACUCUGUUGGUAGGGAAGAACGUUGGUGAGAGUGGAAAGCUCAUCAAGUGACGGUAACUACCCAGAAAGGGACGGCUAACUACGUG